CACCGCGGUUAGACGAGGGACCCAAGUUGACAGUAUACGGCGUAAAGGGUGGUUAAUAUACAGUUAAACUAAAGUCGAACCUCUUCAGCACUGUCAUAAGUUUUGGAAGAAAGGAAGCACAACAACGAAAGUGACUUUAAAAGUAUGAACCCACGAAAGCUAGGGCA
rnacentral:rRNA from 1 species